AUUCAAGUAGUCAUUGAUACAAGUCUUCUAUAAAAUGAAGAAAUCCAAAAUGUAAAUGUCUGGAAGAAGUGUCUUUACAGGAGAGACGAAGGAAAUGAUAGGCAUGGUUGGCGUGACCACUAGAUGCUGGUAUGUGUUUGAAGUGUAAAGUACUGUAUGGUGACUCAUUUCUUCUCUGCUGAGCACUGAUGAGGCCACUCCUGGAGUACUGUGUCCACUUCUGUGCUGUCCAAUCCAAGAGAGAGACACGGAGAUAUUGCAGAAAGUGCAGCAAAGGGCCAAGAAGAUGAAGAAGGUCUGGAGUACCUCUCCUAUGAGGAAAGCCUGAGAGAGCUGGGACUGUUCAGCCUGGGGAAGAAAAGACAGAAGACAGGCAGGCUUUUCUCAGUGACGCCCAGCGCCAGGACAAGAGGCAGUGGAGAUUAUCUCUGAGCAUGUGGAAGUACCUCUGUGCUAUGCUGGCACAGUUCUGCCCAGAGAGGCUGUGGAGUCUCCCCUUUGGGGAUUUUCAAAAAACACAUGAUCCUGGGCACCCUGCUCUGGGUGUCCCUGCCUUAGCAGGGGUUGGAACAGAUAGAAAGAUCCAGAGGGCCCUGCCAACCUCACCAUGUGAUUUCACCUGUUAAGCAUAGCUAGAGGAGCGUAUCCGUCAAAUGAGUUUGCAUAUGUUCCCCUGAAGAGCUAUGUUAAUAGUAUUGCUAAAUGCAAAUUUGAUUGGCUUUGCACUGCUGAAGACACAAAAAACAUUCAGAUAAAGACUUUGAUAUUGGUGGAGAGCAUGUCACAGUAUCUGGAUGUGAUGUUCAAGGGUAAAGUGAGAUUAAUGAAAAUGGAAAGCAGGAAAGAGGGGAGAAAUCUGUAAAAUUACAGAUUGAGGGAAAUAAAGAAGCAGAGGCUCCUACACUAGGAGACAGCAGAUAAUACAUGUGGGGAUGGGGUUGAAUUUCAGCAUCACCCUUAGCUCAAACUCUCCAUCGUCUACUCUCAUACCAGCUGAGAGGUUCAAGGAGGCUUUAGAAGCUGGAGUAUUAAAGGAGGACUAUUGGUCAUCAAGCACUAGGAGAUAACAAGGAAGUACAUACAGUAAAAUUUUAAGCCAUGAAUCGUCAAAACAAAGAAUUUCUAAUCAGUAAUACUGGCUGAAAAAGUGCUGGAUAAAGGCAGUGUAAUUUAACUUACACACCGUGGGUGUUUUAAAGGAUACUUACGUGUGAUUAGAUGAGAGAACGAUGUAAGAAUUUUUUAACUUUCUAAGCAAGUCAAAACAUGAAAGGAUAUCAGAAGAGAAUAAUAAAAUCAUUGCAUUAAGAGACAUCUGUUUGAAAAAAAAUAUUCCUCACACAGCCAACUACCUCACUGAUUUGUCACCUGACCUUUAAAUGGUAUAUACAGCAAUAGGCUUCUGAAGUCCAUAGGGCCUCAGAAACCAUGGUAAUUUUCUUGAACUGUGAAAGAGAUACACCUACCUGUCUUUAUUACUAAUAGACAUUUGCAUGUCUGAUUUGUUUUGUACUGUGCUGAGAUUUCACUCUUCUGGAGUGGCAAAGUGUAAAAACUAUUUAACUGUAUUUUGGAAAAAAAGAUUCUAAGGCUGCUCUGGUAACUCAAGUAAAAUUUUUGCAGCUUCUGAGUAAUAGGCUCAGUCUGAUCCCAAAGGCUGCAUUUCACUCUUUUGAUUAGCAGAGCUUGAGAGCACUUCUUGGCUGGCAAAUUAAGUCACCGUGGAACAAGCUUUGCAUUCUGACUCAUAAAUGCUCUUUGCAAACAUCAUUAACAGGCUUUAAAAUAAAUCCUGCCUUGGUUUUUCGUUGCAUUUUAACCCCAGAAAGGAUUGAAUGUAGCAAGGCAUUCGGUACAUGUUAUCAGUUAUUUGAUGUGGAUAAUUUCCUAUGGGAUGCUACUGUCAUGCUAUAUCUGAUCUGUUUUUCUGAAUAAAAU
ensembl:lncRNA